UCCCCGAGGAGGCAAGUGAGCGUGAGCGGUGCUUGAUACCAGCGCUGAGCUGCACAACCAAGGCAGGGAUUCGAGGCAGGGGAGCUGAACCCAGGGCUCCUUUAAAGAUCACAAGCCAGAAAAUCAGCCGCUCUUGCUUCUGGAGUAGCCUCUGUGCACGUGGUGAAGCGAGGUUGUGUGCGUGGCGGGGCUGCCUUUGCGGGGUGGGGGUGUGGAGAGCCGCCCCCCCAGCUCUCCUGGCUUGUGGGAAUGUUAUGGCAGUUUGUCCCCGAGCAGGGUUUCUGAGAAGGUGUUCCCGGGGCCCGACCUGCUAGAGGAAGUGUCUGGAGGCCCUCACAGGAAUAAUCCAGGUCGCCUUCACUGGAAAUCAGUUUGCUGAAACUAUUGAUACGCAGUUCUUAACGCUGAAGAAAAGGAGGUCCUGCGCCUUGACCACACAAGCGUGGCCCUUCCUCCAGACCCCCGCUCCGGACGCGCCCACCUAGCGUCUCCCAGGAACCAUGCGGCAGCUCAAGGGGAAGCCCAAGAAGGAGACGUCCAAGGACAAGAAGGAGCGGAAGCAGGCCAUGCAGGAGGCCCGGCAGCAGAUCACCACCGUGGUGCUGCCCACGCUGGCCGUGGUCGUGGUCCUGAUCGUGGUGUUUGUGUACGUGGCCACGCGCCCCACCAUCACCGAGUGAGGGCCCGCCCCGAGGGAGGAGGCUCGGGAGGGGAGAGCAGAAGAAGGGCCUUCAUCCGCUGCGAUUUUCCUGAUGCCGAGCUCUGAGCAGGAGCCCCCGUCUCCUCUGGUCUGUGACUUGAUUAAAGGUUCUCCACUUUUCUCGGGAGGGAAUAGGAAACGUUUUAUCAGUGAACGUGCCAUACACCUUAUGGUCCACUUCAUGUGCCUUUCAGACUUCAAAGCCGUGUGUGUGUGUGUGUGUGUGUGUGUGUGUUUCUCGCCUGCAAUCGAUGUGUAGCCCCACCUGGUGAGAGGAGGCGUCUCUGGGUCACGGAUCAGUUGGAAUCAGUGCUCACCCCAUCCCCGUUGUUUUGAACAUGACUUUCCUACACGUGUUCACAAUUUCCAAAGGGACUGUGUUUCUUCUCUGUGCUUCAUGUGAUUUGAAAUAUGUCGACUCAAAAGUGAAAUAUUUAUUUUUUGAAUAAAGGAGAUGAUAGCC
rnacentral:lncRNA from 1 species